GAGGACCGAACCGACUAAUGUUGAAAAAUUAGCGGAUGACCUGUGGCUGGGGGUGAAAGGCCAAUCAAACCGGGAGAUAGCUGGUUCUCCCCGAAAGCUAUUUAGGUAGCGCCUCGUGAAUUCAUCUCCGGGGGUAGAGCACUGUUUCGGCUAGGGGGCCAUCCCGGCUUACCAACCCGAUGCAAACUGCGAAUACCGGAGAAUGUUAUCACGGGAGACACACGGCGGGUGCUAACGUCCGUCGUGAAGAGGGAAACAACCCAGACCGCCAGCUAAGGUCCCAAAGUCAUGGUUAAGUGGGAAACGAUGUGGGAAGGCCCAGACAGCCAGGAUGUUGGCUUAGAAGCAGCCAUCAUUUAAAGAAAGCGUAAUAGCUCACUGGUCGAGUCGGCCUGCGCGGAAGAUGUAACGGGGCUAAACCAUGCACCGAAGCUGCGGCAGCGACGCUUAUGCGUUGUUGGGUAGGGGAGCGUUCUGUAAGCCUGCGAAGGUGGCCUGUGAGGGUUGCUGGAGGUAUCAGAAGUGCGAAUGCUGACAUAAGUAACGAUAAAGCGGGUGAAAAGCCCGCUCGCCGGAAGACCAAGGGUUCCUGUCCAACGUUAAUCGGGGCAGGGUGAGUCGACCCCUAAGGCGAGGCCGAAAGGCGUAGUCGAUGGGAAACGGGUUAAUAUUCCCGUACUUGGUGUUACUGCGAAGGGGGGACGGAGAAGGCUAUGUUGGCCGGGCGACGGUUGUCCCGGUUUAAGCGUGUAGGUGUGUGUUCCAGGUAAAUCCGGUUCACUUUAACACUGAGGCGUGACGACGAGGCACUACGGUGCUGAAGCAACAAAUGCCCUGCUUCCAGGAAAAGCCUCUAAGCAUCAGGUAACAUCAAAUCGUACCCCAAACCGACACAGGUGGUCAGGUAGAGAAUACCAAGGCGCUUGAGAGAACUCGGGUGAAGGAACUAGGCAAAAUGGUGCCGUAACUUCGGGAGAAGGCACGCUGACACGUAGGUGAAGUGAUUUACUCAUGGAGCUGAAGUCAGUCGAAGAUACCAGCUGGCUGCAACUGUUUAUUAAAAACACAGCACUGUGCAAACACGAAAGUGGACGUAUACGGUGUGACGCCUGCCCGGUGCCGGAAGGUUAAUUGAUGGGGUCAGCGCAAGCGAAGCUCCUGAUCGAAGCCCCGGUAAACGGCGGCCGUAACUAUAACGGUCCUAAGGUAGCGAAAUUCCUUGUCGGGUAAGUUCCGACCUGCACGAAUGGCGUAAUGAUGGCCAGGCUGUCUCCACCCGAGACUCAGUGAAAUUGAACUCGCUGUGAAGAUGCAGUGUACCCGCGGCAAGACGGAAAGACCCCGUGAACCUUUACUAUAGCUUGACACUGAACAUUGAGCCUUGAUGUGUAGGAUAGGUGGGAGGCUUUGAAGUGUGGACGCCAGUCUGCAUGGAGCCGACCUUGAAAUACCACCCUUUAAUGUUUGAUGUUCUAACGUGGACCCGUUACCCGGGUUGCGGACAGUGUCUGGUGGGUAGUUUGACUGGGGCGGUCUCCUCCUAAAGAGUAACGGAGGAGCACGAAGGUUGGCUAAUCCUGGUCGGACAUCAGGAGGUUAGUGCAAUGGCAUAAGCCAGCUUGACUGCGAGCGUGACGGCGCGAGCAGGUGCGAAAGCAGGUCAUAGUGAUCCGGUGGUUCUGAAUGGAAGGGCCAUCGCUCAACGGAUAAAAGGUACUCCGGGGAUAACAGGCUGAUACCGCCCAAGAGUUCAUAUCGACGGCGGUGUUUGGCACCUCGAUGUCGGCUCAUCACAUCCUGGGGCUGAAGUAGGUCCCAAGGGUAUGGCUGUUCGCCAUUUAAAGUGGUACGCGAGCUGGGUUUAGAACGUCGUGAGACAGUUCGGUCCCUAUCUGCCGUGGGCGCUGGAGAACUGAGGGGGGCUGCUCCUAGUACGAGAGGACCGGAGUGGACGCAUCACUGGUGUUCGGGUUGUCAUGCCAAUGGCACUGCCCGGUAGCUAAAUGCGGAAGAGAUAAGUGCUGAAAGCAUCUAAGCACGAAACUUGCCCCGAG
rnacentral:rRNA from 1 species